GCUUGCGUAGGCGCCUAGGUGGGUUCGGCUGGCAUGGCGGGGGCGCCGUGGCGCCAUCUUCUCCCGGCGCGCGAAGGCAGGAGCCGGAGACUGGGCCCGCUCAAGGUAGUGUUCCUGGUCCUUGCCUCCUUGUGUGCCUGGUAUUCGGGAUACCUACUCGCAGAGCUCAUUCCAGAUGCACCCCUGUCCAGUGCUGCCUAUAGCAUCCACAGCAUCGGGGAGAGGCCUGUCCUCAAAGCCCCAGUCCCCAAAAGGCAAAAAUGUGACCACUGGACUCCCUGCCCAUCUGACACCUAUGCCUACAGGUUACUCAGUGGAGGUGGCAUAAACAAGUACGCCAAAAUCUGCUUUGAGGAUGACCUGCUCAUGGGAGAAAAGCUGGGAAAUGUUGCCAGAGGAAUAAACAUUGCCAUUGUCAACUAUGUAACUGGGAAUGUGACAGCAACACAACAUUUUGAUAUGUAUGAAGGUGAUAACUCUGGACCGAUGAUAAAGUUUAUUCAGAGUGCUCCUCCAAAAUCCCUGCUCUUCAUGGUGACCUAUGACGACGGAAGCACAAGACUGAAUAAUGAUGCAAAGAAUGCCAUAGAAGAACUUGGAAGUAAAGAAAUCAGGAACAUGAAAUUCAGGUCUAGCUGGGUAUUUCUUGCAGCAAAAGGCUUUGAACUCCCUUCCGAAAUUCAGAGAGAAAAGGAGGAAGGAAACUGAGAAAUAAAUAAGGACAGGAGUCUUGGAAGUGAGGAUAACCUGGUUCAGAUCUGGACUUGGCCACCCUGACUGCAUGACCUGAGGUUGGCACUUCAUAGGCCUGAGCCUCUUCUGCACCCUGAACUGUGGGUAGCGGAGCCUGCCUUGCUCCAUGACAAGCACGACACAGCAGGAGGAGCCAUCAUUCUCAUCAUCUCCAGCAUGGUCUGAGUCUUGUCCCUGGUGAUCCUAACUGGAGCACAGACCCUUGUCUUGAGCCCCACUCAGCCCCUCCCAUGCUUUGUGUGCUCAGCACCCCAGCAAAGCCUCAUGAGUGGCUGCUCUUCCCACACCCUGCAGCGCAUAUGCUUGUUCUGUUCAGGUCUCGUCUUUACACUCCUGCAGUAACUUUCCACGUGUGGACCUCUGCACCUGCCUCCCUCCGUGCAAGGGGUGCCUUCUCAAAGCCACCUUAAAGAUCCACCUCAAGGCUGUUUCUUCUGAGAAGCCUCUCUGGCCCUGCCACCACUGCCGAUCAACCACUCUGAUACUAAGAACAACAGAUAUUCUGGCUGGCCUGCAGAGAUCCAGAUAGAAGGCUGCAUACCCAAAGAACCAAGCU